rnacentral:rRNA from 1 species
UGGGGAAUAUUGCACAAUGGGCGAAAGCCUGAUGCAGCGACGCCGCGUGAGGGAUGACGGCCUUCGGGUUGUAAACCUCUUUCAGCAGGGACGAAGCGCAAGUGACGGUAGGUACAGAAGAAGCACCGGCCAACUACGUG